UCACAUGAUCCAGAAUGAACUCCUCAAAACCAUGUGACUUUUUUGACCAAUGAACGGCCUUGUUUAGUGUCGAGGCGAUCGAGUUCUUCGAUAAACCUGUAUCAACCUUCACCGGGGUACUGUACUCCACUCGACAUGCCAAAUAAGCCGAAAAAAGAAAAGACGACAGCAAAGACGACAGGAAGUGCGAAAACGACGACCAAGGAAAGCACAGAAAAUGUGGAUAACGAGACAGCGAAACGGAAAACAUCGCAAACACCAAAUGCGGAGACUCAUCCUCCACCAUCAUCAAUUUCAAAGCUCAAAUAUCAGGGUCCACCUCACAUAAAAAAAGACAAGCGCCAGAAUUCAUCAAGGUUUAAUGUUUCAAAGAACCGUGAACUACAGAAGCUGCCUCUGCUAAAAGAUGCAACACCUGCAGAAAGGGAGGAGCUAUUUAUUCAAAAAAUUAGACAGUGUACAGUGUUGUUUGACUUUGUGCAAGACCCCCUGAGUGAUUUGAAAUGGAAAGAGGUAAAACGUGCUGCCUUGAAUGAGAUGGUUGAAUAUGUCACACAAAACCGAGGAGUCAUAACAGAAGCAAUUUAUCCAGAAGUGAUUCAGAUGUAUGCUUGCAAUCUGUUUCGAACUUUACCACCUUCCUCAAACCCAAGUGGUGCAGAGUUUGACCCAGAAGAAGAUGAACCCACGCUGGAAGCUGCAUGGCCUCAUCUACAGUUGGUGUAUGAAUUCUUUUUGAGAUUUCUUGAGUCGCCAGACUUCCAGCCCAACACAGCCAAGAGAUACAUCGACCAAAAAUUUGUUUUACAACUUCUUGAUCUCUUUGAUAGUGAAGAUCCCAGGGAGAGAGACUUCUUGAAGACAAUAUUACAUAGGAUAUAUGGAAAAUUUCUUGGCCUUCGUGCUUUCAUACGCAAACACAUAAACAAUAUUUUCUACAGCUUUAUUUAUGAAACAGAGCAUCAUAAUGGCAUAGCAGAGUUGUUGGAGAUCUUAGGAAGUAUAAUCAACGGGUUUGCCCUGCCUUUGAAGGAAGAACAUAAAAUUUUCUUGCUCAGAGUGUUGUUACCCCUCCACAAAGUGAAAUCUCUUAGUGUCUACCAUCCUCAGCUGGCCUACUGUGUUGUCCAAUUCCUUGAGAAAGACCCCAGUCUUACAGAGCAGGUUAUUAUGGGCCUUCUCAAAUUCUGGCCAAAAGUCCACAGUCCAAAAGAGGUUAUGUUUUUAAAUGAACUUGAAGAAAUCUUAGAUGUGAUAGAACCAGCAGAAUUUACCAAAGUCAUGGUGCCACUCUUCAAGCAGCUGGCAAAGUGCGUCUCAAGUCCACACUUCCAGGUGGCUGAGCGAGCCUUGUAUUUUUGGAAUAAUGAAUACAUCUUGAGUCUGAUCAGUGACAGUGUGGCCAGCAUAAUGCCCAUCAUGUUCCCAGCACUGUAUAAGAGCAAAGAGCACUGGAACAAAACAAUCCAUGGUUUGAUAUACAAUGCACUCAAGCUGUUCAUGGAAAUGAACCAGAAACUCUUUGAUGAUUGCACACAACAAUACAAAGCAGAGAGGCAGAAAGAAAAAGAAAAGAGCAAACAAAGAGAUGAAGCAUGGAACAGGAUUAGUUCCCUGGCGCAAGACAACCCUCAGUAUAAAUCUUUAUUGUCAUCACCGGUUUCCUCAAAUAACACUGGCAACUCGCCAACGCCGGCUAAUAUGACCAACGAUGAGGAAGGCGAUGUUCUCUCCACAAUGGAGAAAUUGGAAGCCGAGGCGAAGGAUCGAUGCAAUCGGUAGCAAGAAAGGAGCAGGGAGACUGUUUGGGUGGGUUUCUCUUGUAAACAAGAUCUUCUGAAGAAGAAGCCCCGUGACAAGCCCUUGCUGCGACGCAAGUCUGAGUUGCCUCAUGACAUGUCCAUGAUGCGAGCAUUGGAAAGUCACAAGCGA
rnacentral:misc_RNA from 1 species